ACUAUUUUGUCAUGCGAUAUGAACUACUAAGUUGAAGAUCAAGGUGGAAUUCGCUGAUAUUAUUCUGGUGAUAUAUUAUAUUCGGAAGGAUAUCCUUAUUUAAACCAGAGGUUAUGGCUGAAAUGCCCCAGCUUUUGAAUGGUUAUCACGACAACCACCACCGUUGCCAGCUUUUCAUAAAUCCAAAUCAUGAAAAUCCUCCUCAGACCUUCCGGCUUCGAACUGUAAAGACGCCCUGGUCAAUACAUAAUCGGUUCCUUGAACACCUUGAGGCUUAUGGACUCCUACAUUUUGCGAACAUCGCAGCUCGUCGAGGUAGUUUUACUGCC